GCCAGGCGUGGUGGCACAUGCCUAUAAUCCAGCAGCUCAGGAGGCUGAGGCAGGAGGAUCGUGAGUUCAAAGCCAGCCUCGGCAACUUAGCGAGGCACUAAGCAAUUCAGUGAGACUCUGUCUCUA
rnacentral:sRNA from 1 species